rnacentral:lncRNA from 1 species
AUGUCUGUUCACAAGGUUAACUCAAGAGGAUAAUAAAAUCUAGUGUAAUGAGAGAGAUGAUUAUUAUCAGUUAUGUGAAUGUGUAUAUAUCAAGAAAUGUACCUCCUUGUGAAGACUUACUCGUCAAGAAAUAAUAUCUUUGCCUGGAUUACUGUGCCACCCACUACCAUCUGACAUAUCCCCCUGAUUUGGUGGGUUCUGCCGACAGCAUGGAGCUUAUUCACUGCUUUUUGCCACUGUUCACACCGCCGGCCGACUAUAAUCCCAUCCACAUUAAUGCAUGGCAGAUAUUUUGGUCAACUGUCAUACUAUAUCAUCAUUACAAGUCAAAGUAAUAGAUAUUAAGUGACCCAAUGGGUCAAUCCAAUGAACCGACCCGGUCACAUAGGAUUAAAUAAAGCUAACACAGUAGUUGGGCCCAACGAACCCCAUGGCUUAAUUAUAAAAGCCCAAUGGAUUAAAUUAAUAAAUGAGCCCAAUCUACCCGGCCCAAAUAGAAGAAAUAUCAUGACCCAACAUUACCCCCUAGUUUUUUGUUAAACAGGAUGUUUAAUGGAAAACUAUAAACGGUCCAUGAUAUCAGGAUUUAUUAAAGGCCCAGAACAGGAAAUAAUUGAGAUAUACCCACUUUAGUGCAAAAAAUGGGACAUGGAAUGGCUGAACGCCCAGAGUAAUAGGCCCAAUCAAUAAAGGAUUGAAAUUGAAUAGGAUGGACCAAUAAUUAGAAACCCAACUGUGAGGCCCAAUCCGAUAAGAUAUCCAAAGGUCGUCCCAAACACGCCCCAUUCGAAUUCUCAUCAUUACUGACAUUUAAUGCGCCGGCCUCGUUCCCUGUGUAACCGUCAAUAUAAAAGGUGAGCUUUAUCAAUUCUCGAGGUUUUACCUGCCAAUUUGAAAUUCGAACCUUUGAGCUUUCUUCUCCUUCUCAAAAAUUCUCUCUCUAGCUUUCGAAACCUCAACAAUGGUGAAUCCAAACCAGACUUCUCCAGUUUUCUCCCACUCAAACCCUAACCAAGAGGGUUCGAGUUCAAAUCCACCAUUUCCUACUGAUUUCUUCAAGGAUGGGGAACAAUUUCCUCAUGCGAACAUUGCAUCCACCGUCACAGAAUCUGAAAUACGUGCCCUCCGGAUUCGAUACCAGAUUCCAGACAACUACGCCAUAAGGGCUCCUGCUCCGGAGGAGCGAAUGUACCAGCGACCAGACGGCUGGGUCGCCAUGCCUGCCACUUUUCUGGAAAAGGGGAUUCGCCUACCCCUUCACGCCUUUGUCGUCACCCUCCUAGGGUUCAUAGGAGUGGGCUUUGCUCAGCUGGUGCCCAACUCCUAUAUCCACAUACUGGCAUUCAUUGCCUUCUGCCACGAGCUAGGGGUUACUCCCUCCGUCGACCUUUUCUUCACCCUUUUCUCGGCCGGUAGAUCCCGAGAACGAGGGUUUAAGAUGCUGAGCAAACAAUCUCCACGCCCAAACUCUAAAUUCGAGAAGAGGCCCCUGAUGAGCACCCCUUCGAGCAACAAAGGCUGGCACGAGAAAUGGUUCUUCAUCACUGGACCAGAGAUCUCUUCUCUUCCAGACUGGACCACCCUAGACCGGAUCUCUGCUGACUUUGGUGACAUUCCCGAAGAGCGUGUGAGGGAAAUGGGAGAUUUUCUGAGGAAGAUCCCUCCACAAGAAUGGAGUUUUACCUUGCUGACCAAACAAGCCUGGCUGUAUGAUCAUAAAUGUAAGUUUUGAAUAACUUUGCAAUAUAAUUUCUGAGGUAUUUAUGUGGCAAGGAUCUUAAUAUGUGAUUAUUUGCAGUAUCCCUGAUCAAACCAACUUCUUCGGAAGUGAAAGAUUUGGGAGAUUUUCUGGCGGGGAGGAUUUCAGAGGCGAAUGAAGAGCUUCCUACUGAAGAGCCUUCCCGAACCGACCCCCCUACCUCCGACCCAGCACCUACUCCCCUUCGGAAUGAUGAGCCUGAAGCCGACGAGCCUUUCAUUCCUGAAGAAGUCCUCCGACCUCGCCGAAGGAAGAAGGCUGCUAAAAAGGCCAGAACUACCCCUCACGAGAUAGAUCCUGAAAGCGACGAGGAGGUUCUUCCCAAAGCAAACCCACAAUCAACUCCUCCAACUGACCCUGUUACCACACCUUCUGAACCAGCCCCAAUAAAGAGGAGUCUACUUGACAUACCUCUACACAAUCGGGCGAAAGUCCUUCGUGCCAAAAAAUUAAGAUAAAAAAUAAUUCCCCUCACCGCCGAAGAACUCCGCGUCCCUCCAACUUCAACAAUUGAUCCCCCAACCGAAACACAAACACCUGAUGCUGAGCUGGUCGAAGCCGACCCCUCACUGUCCCGAAAAAGAAAACAACCUUCGGACAGCCAGCCAGGUUCAACCUCUGUCCCUUCUUCAACUUCUGAGCCUAUACCUGCUCGAUCUCCUUCCCCAAAGGCGGUACAUGCGGAUCCCUAGCCGAUUCGCAGUCAACCUGUGCCUUCUCCUCCAAGACACACGUCUACCGAAUUUCAGCAGGAUGCCAUGGGCUCGCCAACUAUGUGGCCCCGAUUUAACGCCAACUUUCUCUUUCAACUGUUCGAGGCCUUCGUUCGCGAGACUGAUGACCACCGAUUCAGGAACAGUACGAAUGGGGACUUGCUUAGCGAAGGUAAAUGGCUCUCCCCUCCCUUUGCUUUCAAUACUUAUCUUCGUACUCAUAUAUCUGAAAACUGAUCAAAUAAAACUGAACACGUACAGGCAAAUGCUGUAUUCGGGCGUCUGCGUCCAAGAUCUCUCGAGGCUGAAUCCGAAGAGAAGGCGCUGAGGAAGGAGAACUCCAUCCCGAAGUCUGCCUUGGCUUGGGAAAGGACCCAACGUGAAGGCAUCCUUCAUACCAAUGAAGGACUUCAAAGAGUUGGCUCAAGCCAAGGAAGAUGUGAAGGCCUCCAAGGAAGAACUGAAGUCGACUAAAGCACAGCAUGCUAAAAUCGUUAAUAUGAACGUCGACUUGGUUCAGAGGAGUGAACUAAGGAUGAACAAGAUCAAGGAGCUGAAGGCUAACGCUAAGAUCUUGACCAAGACGAUCCAUAAGCUGGAGCGAGAAGAAACCCGUCAGAUGAAUAUACGGCAGCAGCUCGAACAAGAAAUCCGAGAACUCAAGGCUCUUCGGGACCUUGGGCCUCCUUUGACAGAUGCUCUUCGCAAAGAGAUAUGUGAAGAGUACCGGAACUCGGAUGAAAUUAAUGGAGAAAUAAUGAGGAUUCAUACGGAAAGCUACGAGCUCUGCCGAAGUCGUGGCAAGGAAAAGCUGAUCAAAGCCAACUUAGAUCCAUACUUGCUCGACUCUUCAGAUGAUGAGGGUGCUGCCUGAGGCAACAGCUUUUGUUUCUCUUCGGUUUUAUUUAAAAAAUACUUGUAAAAAUUUUCUGUUAUUUUCCCUUUUUGUAAAUAAAUUAAGUAUUAAUGAAAAGUGAUCUUCUCCCUUAUGACUUCAGUGUAUUUUUACUUCCUGCCAAUACUUCAAUAUGAAUUUAUAGGGACAAAUGUACAAAAACCCCUUCAAGGAUUUAACUCAAAUUGUUAAUUAACAAUUAAGCAUGUCAUAUAACAGAUAAAGUGAAAUUAAAGAACGAGGCAUUCCGAACUCAACACUUAGAAAAAAUUCAGGUAAUAAAGUAAAGAGAUACUCAUUCAGUUACCGAAGUGUGAGACAGAUCUGCUUUAUCGUGAGUUUGUUUACCCCAAAAGGCCUAACAACACCGAAAGAUAACAUUCGCCUACCACGAAGGGCCUGACGAAGUUUAAGUGUCGACCAUUGCCUACCACGAAGGGCCUGACAACGUCUUGAAGAUGACACUUGCCUACCACGAAGGGCCUGACAAGGUCUAAGUGACGACAAUUGCCUACCCCGAAGGGCCUGACAAUGCCAAAUAGUGGCGACAAUUGCCUACCCCGAAGGGCCUGACAAUGCCAAAUAGUGGCGACAAUUGCCUACCCCGAAGGGCCUGACAAUGCCAAAUAGUGACCACCUGCCGAAGAGGCUACCAUCGAAUGGUCAGCAAGUCCUCCCGAACCUCCUAACACCAAUGAACUGAGCAGCAACAGAGAUAAAAUUUGUUUGAGAGAAAAGAGGAACUUUUAUUGAUGAUGAUGUAAAUAUUUACAGACUUCCGAUGUACUGACAUUGAAUCUACUGAAAGUACUUUCUAAGCCUGCCAGCGUGCCAAGUGUUUUUGAUUACUGAGCCAUCUAAUGCCUUCAACCGAUAAGUCCCCGGCUUCGGAACUUCAGUGAUUUCAUAUGGUCCUUCCCAAUUUGGCAUCAACUUUCCCAGAUUCUGAGGCGUAGAUGCUUCGACUUCUCUGAGGACAAAAUCUCCUACUUCAAAUCUGCGAAGCUUUACCCCCUUAUUAUAAUGCUUAGCCACUCUUCGCUGAUAGGCUGCCAAUUUGAUUAAGGCUAUCUCUCUGACUUCUUCCAGCAAAUCAAGAUUGGUCUUCAGCCCUUCUUCAUUGUAGAUCUCUCGGAAAUGACUAACUCGAAGACUUGGAGAUCCAAUUUCAACUGGGACUAAGGCAUCAGUACCAUAGGCCAAUCUGAAAGAUGAAUCCCCUGUUGUAGUCCUUGGAGUAGUUCGAUAAGCCCAUAGCACACUUAGCAGCUCCUCCGGCCAUCUGCCUUUAGCUUCGUCCAACCUACGCUUAAUCCCAUUCAGCAGCGUUCUGUUGGUUACUUCAACCUGUCCGUUUGACUGAGGAUGAGACACCGAAGUCUUUCUGUGUUGGAUCCCCAAUUCUGCCAAAAAUGCUUCAAACUUCGAUUCCACAAACUGACGUCCAUUAUCCGAUACUACCACCUUAGGAAUUCCAAAACGGAAUACCACUGAUUCUUUCACGAAUUUCAAACACUCUUGUUCCGUUAUUGACCUAAGUGGCUUUGCUUCUACCCAUUUGGUCAUAUAGUCUAUGACAACUAUAACAAAACUGACCUGACCUUUUGUUUUCGGUAGUGGACCCAGUAUAUCAACCCCCCAGACAGCGAAGGGUAUAGGAGAUAAGAUCGAGUAUAGCUCUUCCGGUGACUGAUGAGGUAUUGGACUGUUGAGCUGGCACUUUUCGUACUUCUUGACAUACUCAGUUGCUUCCUUGAAGAUAGUAGGCCAGUAGUACCCCUAACGAAGUACUUUAUAGGCUAAUGACUUAGCAGCCAUAUGGUCGCCACAAAUGCCUUCAUGCACUUCUCGGAGAGCAUAUUCAGCUUCGGAUGGAGUCAAACAUUUCAAUAAUGGAGACGAGAAGGCCCUUCGGAAAAGAUCCCCAUCAAUCAGAACAAAGUUAGCACUCUUGUACUUGAUUUUCUUUGCCUGAUCCGAAGAAAUGACGCCAUCUGUCGUCAAAGUUAUAAGCAUCUGUAGUGGCCAGCUUCUAUAGUGUACCGGCGGUGGAAUUGUUAUUGUGAUCGACUCCUUGAUAGCCUGUUAUACUGAUGCCCGAAAUAGAAUAUCCAUCUGCAUGCAAUACCCACGAACUCUGCUUCUGCCGAAGAACUGCAACGGCUUUGUCGGACUCCUCAGCUUCUCUUUAACUAUUAUCAGCUUUGGACCAUAAUGUCAACCGACCUUGGAAAUAUUUACCAAAGUGUUUGGAUUUCCAGGAGUGUGGCUUAUAGAUCUGCUUUGGUGAUAAGUCCUUCGCUGUUCGCGAGAACACUCAAGGCAGAGUGCCUUUUUUGUGUUCUCGGGUGAAUAUAUUCUUGAAUUACUCCCUCGUCUGCUUGCCCCAUAAUCCCGAGAACCCCUAGGAUGAGGUACCUUCUUCGGAUGCUUAGGAAUAUGGGUGCAUUUUGUGUGCUGAAUCUGAACAUGACAGCCUUAGAUGGGCAUCUCCGAAGACAAGUGUCUACAGGGCGGUGUGCCCUCAGUGGAUUCUCAGGAGUGUGAUUUCUGGAUCUACUUAGGUGAAACUUUCUGUCACUGUGGUGAGCCUUCGUCUACUGCGACCAUAAUCCCAAAAACCAAUAUGGCGGAAUACCCUUCUCGGUCAAUCAAUCAGGAAAAUGGUUGUUGGGUCUUCAUCUACUCUGCUUCGACCAUAAUCCCGAAGACCAAUAGGGCGGAAUACCCUUCUCAGUCAAUCAAUCAGGAAAAUGGCUGUUGGGUCUGCUUCGAUCCCGAGGAAGGCCUCGAGACAUGUCUUUAAAGUGUAGACUUCUUUCUAACUUGAUCGGUCUGUCAGUCUGACCACUUCGGUAUAGGAUUCUAAGCAGUAUGCCUUCUACCCUUUUCCGACCAUGGUCAGGUAUUCUCUGGGCAGCAAAAAUCAAUCUUCUUCCAGCAUCAUCCUGGGCUCUCGAACGAGAACCCUCAGAAACCUGCUUGGAAGCAGUACCAGCAUGAGCAUUCUUUGAAGGACCCAAUCAAUCCUUGACAGAUACUCAUUGUGUAGACGAAGUCAUAGCCAUCGGGUAUCUUUUAGAGGUAACUGUUCUACUCUUCUUCACCAUAGAUUCCGACGUAAAGCAGCUACAAUUUGUGAUUGAAAACUUCAAGAACACUAGAACAGGGGGCCCUCCUUCUAGCGCCAAUGUUAAUGCCAGGAUCUUUCUCCACGUCCCAAUCACGAAAGACGUCCUGAUCCUGCACAGUAAACACGACAAACACCACAAUCUUGACGGCCGGACCGCCGGGGGAUAGCUCAGGCGUGAGAGUAAGUAUGUCUGUUCACAAGGUUAACUCAAGAGGAUAAUAAAAUCUAGUGUAAUGAGAGAGAUGAUUAUUAUCAGUUAUGUGAAUGUGUAUAUAUCAAGAAAUGUACCUCCUUGUGAAGACUUACUCGUCAAGAAAUAAUAUCUUUGCCUGGAUUACUGUGCCACCCACUACCAUCUGACAUAUCCCCCUGAUUUGGUAGGUUCUGCCGACUGCAUGGAGCUUAUUCACUGCUUUUUGCCACUGUUCACACCGCCGGCCGACUAUAAUCCCAUCCAC